rnacentral:lncRNA from 1 species
AUGCCAAACCGCAGUGGCAGUCAAUACAGGUCAGUAAUUGUGUCAGCAUUUUGUUUAAAUGCCAACUGGGUUUCUCAGCAUUUUGCCCAUAAUUCAAAAUACAGCUUAGUAACCUCGGAAAUGUAUUUUAAGACCAUGCUAAUUCAUCCUUUAAAGACAUUUCAUGGAAAAAAAAAAAAAAAGUCCACAUUAGCUCUUAGGAUUGUAUUUGAAGUUAUGGUUGAAAAACAAAAUCUAAUUCUACUGAGGGGAAAAAGAAAUCUCAUUUGUAAACUUAAAUGUGUGAACCACAAGCAUAAAUGGAGGUGUAGUUGCCCUCCACUGGAAAUUGCCCCAAGCCCCUUGCUCACUGCUCUCCACCUUGGCAGCGAUGACCCAAUCUUAUCAGUUAGCACAUGUCCCAGGGCCCUCAAGCCUCCAUCCAGGAAGGGGGCUGGGGUCUCAAAAGCACAAUGGUUUCUCCAGAGGGACUGUGACAUUUACAGUCAGCUUGGCCGACCCUUCCAGUUCCUCGGGUGA